GAUGAAGGACGCAGCGAAAUGCGAUAAGUAAUGUGAAUUGCAGAAUUCAGUGAAUCAUCGAAUCUUUGAACGCACAUUGCGCCCCUUGGUAUUCCGGGGGGCAUGCCUGUUCGAGCGUCAUUAUAACCCCUCAAGCUCAGCUUGGUGUUGGGGCCUGCCGACUGGCAGCCCUUAAAAUCAGUGGCGGCGCCAUCUGGCUCUAAGCGUAGUAAUUUCUCUCGCUAUAGAGUCCCGGUGGAUGCUUGCCAGCAACCCCCAACUUUCUAUGGUUGACCUCGGAUCAGGUAGGGAUACCCGCUGAACUUAAGCAUAUCAAUAAGCGGAGGA
rnacentral:misc_RNA from 1 species